AUGUUUUGUUAUAAGAGACAAUAUGGUAUACACACACUUGAUUUUUCCUACUGAAUAAGAGAAGAACUCAAUCAUGAAGAAGUAAAAAAGAGUAGCUUGUGUUCUAAGACAGUUCACUUGUUGGUUGCGUAGACAUGGCUCCUCCUUCGUCACAGGACCGUAUCAUUACACUAUAUUUAAUUCUCAUUCAAUUAUAUUGGUCUAAUAAAUAACCCCAUUAUUUCCAUUUUUGUCGCAGGGACAUGUAAUUACUCUAUACAGUAUUUAAUUUUCAUUUAAUUUUGUUGGUC
rnacentral:lncRNA from 1 species